rnacentral:rRNA from 1 species
UAGGGAAUCUUCCACAAUGGACGCAAGUCUGAUGGAGCAACGCCGCGUGAGUGAAGAAGGUUUUCGGAUCGUAAAGCUCUGUUGUUGGUGAAGCAGGAUAGAGGUAGUAACUGGCCUUUAUUUGACGGUAAUCAACCAGAAAGUCUCGGCUAACUACGUGCCAGCAGCGGCGGUAAUACGUAGGUGGCAAGCGUUGUCCGGAUUUAUUGGGCGUAAAGCGAGCGCAGGCGGAAGAAUAAGUCUGAUGUGAAAGCCCUCGGCUUAACCGAGGAACUGCAUCGGAAACUGUUUUUCUUGAGUGCAGAAGAGGAGAGUGGAAUUCCAUGUGUAGCGGUGAAAUGCGUAGAGAUAUGGAAGAACACCAGUGGCGAAGGCGACUCUCUGGUCUGCAACUGACGCUGAGGCUCGAAAGCAUGGGUAGCGAACAGG